UCAGAUUGCAGGCUGCAACUCGCCUGUAUGAAGUUGGAAUUGCUAGUAAUCGCGGAUCAGCAUGCCGCGGUGAAUACGUUCCCGGGCCUUGUACACACCGCCCGUCACACCAUGAGAGCCGGUAAUACCCGAAGUCAGUAUCCUAACCGCAAGGAGGGAGCUGCCGAAGGUAGGAUUGGCGAUUGGGGUGAAGUCGUAACAAGGUAGC
rnacentral:rRNA from 1 species